AUGAACUGGACCCCUCUCUUCUUUGCUCUCCUCGCUCACUUGCACAGGCCCUGCAGCCUCCUGUGAGCUGACUCAGGCACCCUCGCUGUCAGUGGGCCUGGAACAGACAGCCUGCAUCACCUGUGGGGAAAACAACAUUGGAGAUAAAUAUACUUACUGGUACCAGUAGAAGUCAGAUCAGGUGCCUAUACUGGUCAUCUACAAGGAUGACAAGCGGCCUUCAGGGAUCCCUGACCGGAUCUCUGGCUCCAAUUCAGGGAACACGGCCACCCUGACCAUCAGCAGGUUCAGGCUGAGGAUGAAGCCGACUAUUACUGUCAGGUUUCAGACCGCCCUGCAGCCUCUUAUGAGCUGACUCAGGCACCCUCAGUGUCAGUGGGACAGACAACCAGCAUCACCCGUCAGGGAGACAAACUUGGAGAUAAAUAUGUUCACUGGUACCAGCAGAAGCCAGGCCAGUCCCCUGUACUGGUCAUCUACGAGGAUAGCAAGUGGCCUUCAGGGAUCCCUGAGCUCUUCUCUGGAAAUAACUCAGGCAACAUGGCCAACCUGACCAUCAGCAGAGCCCAGGCUGAGGAUGAGGCCAACUAUUUUAUUGUAGUUUAG